UACGUAGGGUCCGAGCGUUGUCCGGAAUUACUGGGCGUAAAGAGCUCGUAGGCGGUCUGUCGCGUCGGAUGUGAAAGCCCGGGGCUUAACCCCCGGGUCUGCAUUCGAUACGGGCAGACUAGAGUGUGGUAGGGGGAGAUCGGAAUUCCUGGUGUAGCGGUGAAAUGCGCAGAUAUCAGGAGGAACACCGGUGGCGAAGGCGGAUCUCUGGGCCAUUACUGACGCUGAGGAGCGAAAGCAUGGGGAGCAAACAGG
rnacentral:rRNA from 1 species